CGACAAGAUUUCCAAGACGGUUCCCAAAGGCGCAAAGCGCCCGGGAUGAAAAGGGAACACGGUGCGGUGUAGCCAUCAGGCGCCAAACCCGUGACUGCCCCCGCAACUGUAAGCGGCGAGCCCGCCCGGACAAUGCCACUGACCCCGCAAGGGUUGGGAAGGCCCGGAAAGGCACGGACCCGCAAGUCAGGAGACCUGCCGUCAGGGGCGUGUGCCC
rnacentral:ncRNA from 2 species